UACGUAGGGCGCAAGCGUUAUCCGGAAUUAUUGGGCGUAAAGAGCUCGUAGGCGGUUUGUCGCGUCUGCCGUGAAAGUCCGGGCUCAACUCCGGAUCUGCGGUGGGUACGGGCAGACUAGAGUGAUGUAGGGGAGACUGGAAUUCCUGGUGUAGCGGUGAAAUGCGCAGAUAUCAGGAGGAACACCGAUGGCGAAGGCAGGUCUCUGGGCAUUAACUGACGCUGAGGAGCGAAAGCAUGGGGAGCGAACAGGAUUAGAACCUACGUACGUAGUCC
rnacentral:rRNA from 1 species